rnacentral:rRNA from 1 species
GGGUUGUGAGGUUAAGCGACUAAGCGUACACGGUGGAUGCCCUGGCAGUCAGAGGCGAUGAAGGACGUGCUAAUCUGCGAUAAGCGUCGGUGAGGUGAUAUGAACCGUUAUAACCGGCGAUUUCGAAUGGGAAACCCAGUGUGUUUCGACACACUAUCAUUAACUGAAUCCAUAGGUUAAUGAGGCGAACCGGGGGAACUGAAACAUCUAAGUACCCCGAGGAAAAGAAAUCAACCGAGAUUCCCCCAGUAGCGGCGAGCGAACGGGGAGGAGCCCAGAGCCUGAAUCAGUGUGUGUGUUAGUGGAAGCGUCUGGAAAGGCGCGCGAUACAGGGUGACAGCCCCGUACACAAAAAUGCACAUAUUGUGAGCUCGAUGAGUAGGGCGGGACACGUGGUAUCCUGUCUGAAUAUGGGGGGACCAUCCUCCAAGGCUAAAUACUCCUGACUGACCGAUAGUGAACCAGUACCGUGAGGGAAAGGCGAAAAGAACCCCGGCGAGGGGAGUGAAAAAGAACCUGAAACCGUGUACGUACAAGCAGUGGGAGCCUCUUAAUGGGGUGACUGCGUACCUUUUGUAUAAUGGGUCAGCGACUUAUAUUCUGUAGCAAGGUUAACCGAAUAGGGGAGCCGAAGGGAAACCGAGUCUUAACUGGGCGUUAAGUUGCAGGGUAUAGACCCGAAACCCGGUGAUCUAGCCAUGGGCAGGUUGAAGGUUGGGUAACACUAACUGGAGGACCGAACCGACUAAUGUUGAAAAAUUAGCGGAUGACUUGUGGCUGGGGGUGAAAGGCCAAUCAAACCGGGAGAUAGCUGGUUCUCCCCGAAAGCUAUUUAGGUAGCGCCUCGUGAAUUCAUCUCCGGGGGUAGAGCACUGUUUCGGCAAGGGGGUCAUCCCGACUUACCAACCCGAUGCAAACUGCGAAUACCGGAGAAUGUUAUCACGGGAGACACACGGCGGGUGCUAACGUCCGUCGUGAAGAGGGAAACAACCCAGACCGCCAGCUAAGGUCCCAAAGUCAUGGUUAAGUGGGAAACGAUGUGGGAAGGCCCAGACAGCCAGGAUGUUGGCUUAGAAGCAGCCAUCAUUUAAAGAAAGCGUAAUAGCUCACUGGUCGAGUCGGCCUGCGCGGAAGAUGUAACGGGGCUAAACCAUGCACCGAAGCUGCGGCAGCGACACUAUGUGUUGUUGGGUAGGGGAGCGUUCUGUAAGCCUGUGAAGGUGUACUCUGAGGUAUGCUGGAGGUAUCAGAAGUGCGAAUGCUGACAUAAGUAACGAUAAAGCGGGUGAAAAGCCCGCUCGCCGGAAGACCAAGGGUUCCUGUCCAACGUUAAUCGGGGCAGGGUGAGUCGACCCCUAAGGCGAGGCCGAAAGGCGUAGUCGAUGGGAAACAGGUUAAUAUUCCUGUACUUGGUGUUACUGCGAAGGGGGGACGGAGAAGGCUAUGUUGGCCGGGCGACGGUUGUCCCGGUUUAAGCGUGUAGGCUGGUUUUCGUGCAAAUCGGAAAAUCAAGGCUGAGGCGUGAUGACGAGGCACUACGGUGCUGAAGCGACAAAUGCCCUGCUUCCAGGAAAAGCCUCUAAGCAUCAGGUAACAUCAAAUCGUACCCCAAACCGACACAGGUGGUCAGGUAGAGAAUACCAAGGCGCUUGAGAGAACUCGGGUGAAGGAACUAGGCAAAAUGGUGCCGUAACUUCGGGAGAAGGCACGCUGAUAUGUAGGUGAAGCGACUUGCUCGUGGAGCUGAAAUCAGUCGAAGAUACCAGCUGGCUGCAACUGUUUAUUAAAAAACACAGCACUGUGCAAACACGAAAGUGGACGUAUACGGUGUGACGCCUGCCCGGUGCCGGAAGGUUAAUUGAUGGGGUUAGCGGUAACGCGAAGCUCUUGAUCGAAGCCCCGGUAAACGGCGGCCGUAACUAUAACGGUCCUAAGGUAGCGAAAUUCCUUGUCGGGUAAGUUCCGACCUGCACGAAUGGCGUAAUGAUGGCCAGGCUGUCUCCACCCGAGACUCAGUGAAAUUGAACUCGCUGUGAAGAUGCAGUGUACCCGCGGCAAGACGGAAAGACCCCGUGAACCUUUACUAUAGCUUGACACUGAACAUUGAGCCUUGAUGUGUAGGAUAGGUGGGAGGCUUUGAAGUGUGGACGCCAGUCUGCAUGGAGCCGACCUUGAAAUACCACCCUUUAAUGUUUGAUGUUCUAACGUGGGCCCCUUACCGGGGUUGCGGACAGUGUCUGGUGGGUAGUUUGACUGGGGCGGUCUCCUCCUAAAGAGUAACGGAGGAGCACGAAGGUUGGCUAAUCCUGGUCGGACAUCAGGAGGUUAGUGCAAUGGCAUAAGCCAGCUUGACUGCGAGCGUGACGGCGCGAGCAGGUGCGAAAGCAGGUCAUAGUGAUCCGGUGGUUCUGAAUGGAAGGGCCAUCGCUCAACGGAUAAAAGGUACUCCGGGGAUAACAGGCUGAUACCGCCCAAGAGUUCAUAUCGACGGCGGUGUUUGGCACCUCGAUGUCGGCUCAUCACAUCCUGGGGCUGAAGUAGGUCCCAAGGGUAUGGCUGUUCGCCAUUUAAAGUGGUACGCGAGCUGGGUUUAGAACGUCGUGAGACAGUUCGGUCCCUAUCUGCCGUGGGCGCUGGAGAACUGAGGGGGGCUGCUCCUAGUACGAGAGGACCAGGUGGACGCAUCACUGGUGUUCGGGUUGUCAUGCCAAUGGCACUGCCCGGUAGCUAAAUGCGGAAGAGAUAAGUGCUGAAAGCAUCUAAGCACGAAACUUGCCCCGAGAUGAGUUCUCCCUGACUCCUUGAGAGUCCUGAAGGAACGUUGAAGACGACGACGUUGAUAGGCCGGGUGUGUAAGCGCAGCGAUGCGUUGAGCUAACCGGUACUAAUGAACCGUGAGGCUUAACCUUACAACGCCGAAG